rnacentral:rRNA from 1 species
UUCUUGGGUGCCCUCGUCAAUUCCUUUAAGUUUCAACUUUGCAACCAUACAUUUGGUUCCCCGACCACGAUGGUCCCGGAAGCGACUGAGAGCACCGAAUUGAGUCACGUUAGAAUCGCAUAAGGCUCAGUAUAACAGCUAUAAUUCACAAGAUCAUCCUACCACUAGUUACUUGGAUAACUGUGGAAAAUCCAGAGCUAAUACAUGCAACAUGCCGGGACUGUUGCCCUCGCGGGUAGCUGAACUGGUGCACUUAUUAGUUAAACCAAUCGCCUCCGGGCGGCUUGAGUUGAAGUCUGGAUAAGGACGCAGAUCGUAUGGUCGCUUGUCGACUGACGACAGAUCUUUCAAAUGUCUGCCCUAUCAACUAUUGAUGGUAGUGUAGAGGACUACCAUGGUUGCGACGGGUAACGGGGAAUCAGGGUUCGAUUCCGGAGAGGGAGCCUGAGAAAUGGCUACCACAUCCAAGGAAGGCAGCAGGCGCGUAAAUUACCCAAUCCCAGUACGGGGAGGUAGUGACGAGAAAUAACAAUAUGGACCUCUCUAACGAUGGUCCAUAAUUGGAAUGAGUUGAGUAUAAAUCCUUCAACAAGGAUCAAGUGGAGGGCAAGUCUGGUGUUGCGGUUAAAACGUUCGAAGUUGAUUGCCCGUCCAGACACGUGACCGCCACGGGCGCCCGGUUACACGCCGGGGCCGUUCGUGCGCGCGCUCACGCUGCGACUCACAAUGGUGUACUUGGGCGUUACUCUGUGAACGAGUACCGUGCUACCGGUUAACUCCGGCACGGGCUCCUCAUGGUGCUCAAGAUACUCACAUUUACCUUGAACAAAUUAGAGUGCUCAAAGCAGGCUAAGACAAAGCGUCCGGCCCCCCGUGGGGUUGGCGUUGGCCGAGAAUAAUCUUGCAUGGAAUAAUGGAAUAUGACCUCGGUUUAUACGAUUUCGUUGGUUUGUCAGAAACCUAGAGGUAAUGAUUAACAGAAGUAGUUGGGGGCAUUGGUAUUACGGCGCGAGAGGUGAAAUUCGUAGACCGUCGUAGGACCAACUGAAGCGAAGCGUUUGCCAUGGAUGCUUUCUUUAAUCAAGAACGAAGUUAGAGGAUCGAAGGCGAUUAGAUACCGCCUAGUUCUAACCGUAAACGAUGCCAAUUAGCAAUUGGAGACGCUACCCCUAUUCGGUGCUCUCAGUCGCUUCCGGGAAACCAAAAUCGGGUUCCGGGGGAAGUAUGGUUGCAAAGUUGAAACUUAAAGGAAUUGACGGAAGGGCACCACAAGAAGUGGAGCUUGCGGCUUAAUUUGACUCAACACGGGAAAAUUUACCAGGUCCAAACUUAUCGAGGUAGACAGAUUGAUAGCUCUUUCUCAAAUUUAAGGGUAGUGGUGCAUGGCCGUUCUUAGUUCGUGGAAUGAUUUGUCUGGUUAAUUCCGAUAACGAACGUGACUCAAACAUGCUAACUAGAACGCUGUCAGCAGUGCGCCUCCGGGCGCACUGACGUUACAGCCGGGCGGCGCCUUCACGGCGGUCGUCGGCUACGUUUGCCUGCUUAGCGGGACAACUUGUGUUUAGCAAGCUGAGAAUGAGCGAUAACAGGUCCGUGAUGCCCUUAGAUGUUCUGGGCUGCACGCGUGCUACAAUGUGGGUCGCAGCGUGUUCUCGCCAAUAGGCGCCCCCAUUCCGAGAGGAACGGGAAAUCACUAAAAUGCCCAUCUAGUCGGGAUUGGGGACUGCAACGGUCCCCAUGAACCUGGAAUUUCUAGUAAGCACUAGUCAUUAGCUAGUGCUGAUUACGUCCCUGCCCUUUGUACACACCGCCCGUCGCUACUACCGAUGGAUUAUUUAGUGAGGUUUCUGGAGGCUUACCUUCCGCGGUUCCUUCGUGAGCUGCAGCUGGCAUGGCUGAAGUUGACCGAACUUGAUGAUUUAGAGGAAGUAAAAGUCGUAACAAGGUUUCCGUAGGUGAACCUGCGGAAGGAUCAUUA